CAGGCCCCCGUCCUUCUCAAGUUUCGAGUUUUUGCCGCAAUUUAACAUCCCACGCCACAGAACGCGACAGGUGGCAAAUAACCAAGGCAGUACGGCGCGGGAGGUCAUGGCCAUCGUGCAAUGAUGAGUAAUGGCACAAUUGUUCGGGUUGAGGCAACUGAGGGAGCUGGAAUCAAGCUGAGGCGGAUAUGCAAGAAAGCCUGCGUCAGGAUGGGAGUCCAGCUGAGUGUCUGCGGGGGAACCUAGUACUUCCAGAGGCUGAAAUGUCCUCCAUCCAUUAAGAAGCUAUGGUGGAACUACUUCACCUACAGACGAGUCAGCUGAAACUUUUUGUGCCUACUGGGUACAACAGCCUGUGGAACAGAUCUGCUGCUUCUGGUCUUUAAUUUCUUCUUCACUGCACCUGCUCCAUUCAGUGUCACCUCAGGUAAAGUAUGUCACAGCUGAUCUAUCUGUACUGACACCCAGGCAUUCUCUGCAGUGACCCAAGUGGGAUGUGAUCUGCCCCGUAGAAACCAUCUGACAUCACAUCAGUGGUGUUUUCAUCAUUAAAUCAAUACACAAAAAAAGUACUCAAGUUCUCAAAAUGAUUGUGAUUUUACCAGAGUAGUCGCAUGAGAAAUUUCAGUUUGUUUCUACUUACUGGAUCAAUAUAACCUACAUUAACAACAAAAA